rnacentral:rRNA from 1 species
UGGAGAGUUUGAUCCUGGCUCAGAUUGAACGCUGGCGGCAGGCCUAACACAUGCAAGUCGAGCGGUAACAGGGGAAAGCUUGCUUUCUUGCUGACGAGCGGCGGACGGGUGAGUAAUGUAUGGGGAUCUGCCCGAUAGAGGGGGAUAACUACUGGAAACGGUGGCUAAUACCGCAUGACGUCUACGGACCAAAGCAGGGGCUCUUCGGACCUUGCGCUAUCGGAUGAACCCAUAUGGGAUUAGCUAGUAGGUGAGGUAAUGGCUCACCUAGGCGACGAUCUCUAGCUGGUCUGAGAGGAUGAUCAGCCACACUGGGACUGAGACACGGCCCAGACUCCUACGGGAGGCAGCAGUGGGGAAUAUUGCACAAUGGGCGCAAGCCUGAUGCAGCCAUGCCGCGUGUAUGAAGAAGGCCUUAGGGUUGUAAAGUACUUUCAGCGGGGAGGAAGGUGAUAAAGUUAAUACCUUUUAUCAAUUGACGUUUACCCCGCAGAAAAAGCACCGGCUAACUUCGUGCCAGCAGCCGCGGUA